AGAUUUUCGGUCUUUACCUUUUUGCCCGGCAUUAGAGCCCCCUCAGUCUAAUUGCUUCCUUGUUUAGUCAAUGUAACAGCGGAACAGCGGCCCGCCUGAAAUUGGUACUUACGUGGCAGCCUGAGGACGAAGUUCAUAUCUUGGUGUAGAGCAGCUGAAACUUCCUGGGAAAUAUUUUGGAUUUAUGACCAGAAGAAUAGAAGGCAGAGUCUAUGGCAGCUACAGCUAAAGGAAAGUGAUGAGUUGUCCCAGAAAGGAGAGAGCCAGAAAAUGGAAGCCCCAGUAUUCAGUGUAGGACCAUCUGUCAAUCCAUAACUCUCGUUUGUGAUAGAACAUGGAAAGGUCAUUGGAGUUGUUUUUUUUAUGGCAAACCUGAAUGAUGAACUUCCAUUGGUUCAAUUUAGAAUCUCUCCAACUACUAAAAACAAACUUUUUGCAAAAAGGCUAAAAUCUGAACAGAAACAGCUUCAUUUACACUACAUAUUUUUCAAGAUGUUUAGAGUUGUGUAAAUAUGCUCUGUGGAAGAUUUCUAUUUUCUUGAAAAUACAGUUUGACUCCAUUAUGGUAUUAUAUAUAGAGAAAAGAUGGCCGUUUAACCUGCACAUGUUCAUAAAUAUGCAAGAUAUGUUUGCAGGAGUGAAAUUUUUUCUAAAUUAAACCAAAGAUGAAAAUGUGACACCAAAAUAAAAGUACUUUCCUUGCCAACUUGAACAAGGAAACUAAAAAAUCCUCAUGCAUAGGAAAAAAUGAAAAGGAAAUGGGCUUUACUUGUACCAUUGAUUACUCAGCUACCCUGAAGAUUAAAGUGAGGAGUCAUUUAAAGGAGAAGAAUCUCAAUGGCUAGAUCAGAUGAGAGGUUUUAGGAAGCCAGUGAGGUUGCAUGGUUUAAGUCACAGGCAAAGAGAUGGAGAUGGUCUGGCUGUGAGGGCAUAACAAAGAAGCUUGUCCAGGACAGAGAGGAAGAAAUGUAUCCAAAGACUCAGUUGUCUUAUCAAGAACAAGAGAAGUGAAUUCAUAAAGGCAGGACAAUAUAGGGCAAGUAAUUUAAUACUAAAGGUUACCGACACACUUGUUAAGCUUCCAUUAAGUGUGCAUAUUUGAAGGUGGGUUAUUCCUAGUUGGAGGUUAAAUUUUAUGAUACAUUAAUGUGUAUUAUAAUUUGCAUGUAAUUAAAAUAACAUAUACAUGCUCAUAUACAUUUUUAAAAUGUUAAACUAAAAUCCCUGUUAUCCCUAGGGAUUCUUCCUUUUACAUCAAAAAGUAGAAAUUGAAACUAUCAUUGGAUUUAUAUAUUUACUGUGUUUUAUCUAUUUGCAUAAUUAUCCCACUACAUUAGAUUUUUCACUGACUUUUUUUUUUUUUCAGUGUGCAGGGGACAAAUAAUAACAGCACGGCCAGCAACCUCUUCAGGUCCCCAGGAGAAAUAAACUUUUCCUUCUUUAUCCUUGUUUUAAAUUCAGCCCUGUGUUCUUUUCUUUGGGACCUAGGUGAUUGAGAGCUGCGAAAUUCUUGGUGCUUCUGCUCUUAACCCUUCUUUAUUUAGCCAAAAUACCCUGAGCACCUGUUCUGUACCAGAGAGAGAAUAGAUCAGGGAGACUUAUUCUGGGUUCUAGGGAGAGAAUAGAUCAGGGAGACUUAUUCUAAAGGUAAGAAGCCAAAAAUAAACACUAAUUGAAUUUCAAAUACUGCUGUCUUCUGUGGAGACAGUAACACAGGUAGUGUGAAAGAGGACUGGCCUGGGGAAUAGGAAGGCUAUAGAUUGAGAAACAGAUUUCUUACAAAAGUGAGAUCUGGGUCAAGUUUUCCAAGCACCUCAAAAAGCAAGUGAAAAGGCCUGCAGGUAGAAAAAGCUGAGUAUGAUCAAGGGCAGAAGGAAGGCCAAUAGAAUUAUACAAUGGCAUUAGUAAGGCUGAAAUGAUGCCAGAAAUAUAGGCAGGGCCAGAUCAUAAAAUUGCCCAUAGGCUGUAAGGAAUUUGAAUUUUAUUCUAAAUGCACUGAAAAGCCAUGCUUUGUUGCUGUUGUAGAGGUGUGCUUAGCUUAAUCAAGGUUGUGAUGUAUUCUGAUUUUUUUUUCUUUAAAGAUGGAUUGGAGAAGGGCAAAAAGAGAAGCAUAGAGAUAUAUAUGCUGGACACAACUGGUUGACUUAAGGACAGAUGAUAAAAGUUAGCAUGAGGGGAGAUAAAAAUUGAUCUAGGGGGAAUAGCCUUUGAAUGGGCCUCCACUGUCUAAAGACAAUAUAGGUGGUUGUUACCUACAGAAUUUAGUUUCAGUACUCACAGUAGUGUUCAGUGAGGAUUUCCUCUUUCCUUUGUAGAUUGAAACUGGUUAAACAAAAUAUAUCAUUAGUCAUUUAUUGCUUGGACUAAAUUCUCCCUUUGCCAAUGCAAUUAAUUUUCUGAGGGAUCCUAUAGUAAGACAUAAAAGUCAAUUCAAUAAUCAUAGCAUUUCUUAAAUAUCAUAGAAGCUUCCCUUCACUAGAAAAAAGCAGUUAGAGGGACAAGACAGACACAUAGGAAAACUAGCAUUACAUGUUCUUGAUCUACUGAUUUGCAGAGACUACUUCAUUGAAUUUUUCUGUAUCUUUUCCACUGCAGCACAUUUUAGCUACUGAGAAAAUGUUUGUUGAUAAAUAUUGCUGUAUUUUCCAGCAUUCUCAUCUUAGUUUAAUUAUCUAAUUCUCCCAUGGAUAAACCCAUGUGGAUUUUUCAAGAAGCCUACUUUUUGGAUAUUCAGCUUUACACAUGAAGAAGCACUAGAUUCUUUUUUCUGAAGAUUAAUCAAAGACUAUGAUGUUUUUGUGGGACUGGCUUAAAUUGAAUUCCCGUGGUUCCAUCAUAUAAUAUUUGGCUGUCCUGCCAUAUUAAGCAAGGCAUCACAUGUUUUAUGAGGCACAGCUUAAAAGAUGUACAAAUUCAACAACGAGAGAUACAAACACCAGGCAAAAGGAGGGAUUCAAUCAGUGCGUGAAAGAGUAUUUUUAAGCAUCUGUUAUGGGCAGACAUACUAGGUACCUUGCAGAAUAUAAGGCCUUGGGAAGACUACAUAUAACAUUUUUGACUACUUUAAAAAGUUUUAAAGAUAAUGUUAUGUAAAUUUUUGUAAACUGGUUGAUACAGACUAUUGCUAGAAGGGUUCAGAGAAAUUCCAGCAAAUCCAGGUGUGAUUAUAGCAGGGUCAGGUAGACUUGCCUAGAAUUUAUAGUGCUUCACCUGGAUUCAAAAUGAUCUAUGUUGUUUUCCCAGAGAAGGAUUACAAAGAUGCAUGACCAAUGAGCCAUCAGAAUCAAUACAACUGUUGGCUCAUUCAGCUUCCGUCUUAGAGAAAGCAAUGUGAGGACUCAUGGACAUCCCUGGAAGGAAAGCUUGAGUUCCAGUUGCUUCAGGGAAUUUCUUUAGAACUAAAACAUAUAUGAAGUCUAUACCUGGACUUCUAGACAGAGAAUGAAGAAACAUCUGAUUAACCCUCUGCUCCUUUAUUUAGUGACAAAAUUAAGUACAUAAAACAUCAAGAAGUUGCUGCAAGGUGGAAGAACAUCAAGGAAAAGCCAAAAGAGAGAGAGAUACAUUGAGUAUUGUGUUUCUUUGUCAAAAUUUAUGGAUACUGAGAGUAAUGGUUUACCUUUGUUUUCCUUCUCUUGUUAAUCACUUAAAAAUGGUUUUAAACUAGUGACACAAUGAUUCAAGCAUAGAUGCAAAAUAUAAAAAGAGCAUAAAUUCAAAUUGUGCUCUGAUGACUAUGUUCAAUAGUAUACUUUUAUUUUGAGUCUGGUAUAAAUUCCCUUUCAUUUUGGUGGCUUCUAUAGUAGGGAAUCUGGUGAUGAGUAGGUCAGCUUUUUCUGUAUGUGGAUGAAUAUCUUUCAUUCUGUAAGCCUUUCACAGAUUUUAUUUAAUUUUUUUAUUUGAAAGGAACACAUAUAACCUGGCACUUAUUCAAUUCUCUUUAAACAAUAACGAAAAACUGCAUAUUGGUGAAAUUUAAAUAGAAGAAUUAUAUCCUGAUGAAAAGAAAGUAUUUAAUAAUGUUUUGUUAAUAUUCUGCAAAUAGAAGUAUUAUUUGCUAUUUUAGAAAAAAGUCCACACAUUUCCUCUAUUCUAAGCCAAAAGUAAAUGUUUAUUGGUAUUACUAUGUGGAAUCGACUGGAAAGACUAUAGUGGUUAACAAAAAACAACUCAUUAUGAUUCAUGACUUUAUAAAAGCAUGCACUACUAUAGGAGAAUGGUAAGCCCAUAGAGCAACAGAGACAGGCAAGAAUACAGGGAUAUAAUACAGAUAAUUUAUCUUCACUCUUAUAUUACAUUUUUUGGUUUUGCCCAAACAAAAGUGAAAUAAAACUCCCCUUUAGGAGUGGCAAGUAUAUUAAAGGAGACAUAAAAGGAAAAAAAAAAAGAUUUACAGAGAUUGUUUAACUCUUAAGUGGUAGGAAACAUACACAUUUUUGCUUAUUGGAUUCACAUUUCAAUAGUGAGAGUUAUAGAACUCUGUGUUUUUAAUCCUUAUUUUUUUCUAGAAAGAACUUGAUUUGUUUUUUAAAUUAUGUUUUUAAAAUUAUGGCGUGCAAUAAUUUAACUUCUCUUGAAAAG